AAUCGUUUCGUUCUGUUUGCGGCAGACAGGAACGGCGGCGCGAAACCGCUCCUGAAUACCGCUACCGCGGAACGGCUCCGGCAAGGAUAGCCGGGGUAAAG
rnacentral:ncRNA from 1 species